UGUGCAGAAAAGGAGUUCUAAGGACUAGCGGAAAAAAAAAAGGUUCCAAGGUACUUUUCAUUGAAUUCAACAUUGUUAUAUUUGAACUGAUCCAAUUAAACCUAACAAAAUUAGUUCAAACUCUUAAGUUUAACAUGGCUAGAAUUCAUAGGUUGCUUGAACGUAACCCAAUUUGAUUUAUCAAAUGAGUGCAUUGGACUUGGUUUUAGUUUUCAAUCUAUUGAUAAUGCAAGUCAGAUCCAGGUCAAAUCAGACCUGGAUCAACACUAACCCACUUGAAG
rnacentral:lncRNA from 1 species